UAAGGAAUAUUGGUCAAUGGACGCAAGUCUGAACCAGCCAUGCCGCGUGAAGGAUGAAGGUCCUCUGGAUUGUAAACUUCUUUUAUCUGGGACGAAAACGGGAUUUUUAUCUCAAUUGACGGUACCAGAGGAAUAAGCACCGGCUAACUCCGUGCCAGCAGCCGCGGUAAUACGGAGGGCGCGAGCGUUAUCCGGAUUUACUGGGUUUAAAGGGUGCGUAGGUGGGCUUAUAAGUCAGUGGUGAAAUCUCCGAGCUUAACUUGGAAACUGCCGUUGNUACUAUAGGUCUUGAAUUAUCUGGAGGUAAGCGGAAUAUGUCAUGUAGCGGUGAAAUGCUUAGAUAUGACAUAGAACACCAAUUGCGAAGGCAGCUUACUACAUAUAAAUUGACGCUGAGGCACGAAAGCGUGGGGAUCAAACA
rnacentral:rRNA from 1 species